rnacentral:tRNA from 1 species
GCUCGGUUAGCUCAGUUGGUUAGAGCGUCGUACUAAUACCUCCCUUGGGACAUAUUAAGUAAUGCGAAGGUCAUGAGUUCAACCCUCAUACUGAGCA